GUAGGGGGGCAAGCGUUGUCCGGGAAUUAUUGGGGCGUAAAGCGCGCGCAGGCGGUCUCUUAAGUCUGAUGUGAAAGCCCACGGGCUCAACCGUGGAGGGUCAUCGGAAACUGGGAGACUUGAGUGUAGGAGAGGAAAGUGGAAUUCCACGUGUAGCGGUGAAAUGCGUAGAUAUGUGGAGGAACACCAGUGGCGAAGGCGACUUUCUGGCCUACAACUGACGCUGAGGCGCGAAAGCGUGGGGAGCAAACAGGAUUAGAUACCCUGGUAGUCCACGCUGUAAACGAUGAGUGCUAGGUGUUAGGGGUUUCGAUGCCCUUAGUGCCGAAGUUAACACAUUAAGCACUCCGCCUGGGGAGUACGGCCGCAAAGGCUG
rnacentral:rRNA from 1 species